GGCCCGGUGGCACAGUGGUGGUGCAUCUGCAUGUAAUGCAGGUCAAGUCAAUUACAUUUUAUGCAGGCGACGUCGGUUCGAUUCCGGCCUGGGCCU